AACGUAGGAGGCGAGCGUUAUCCGGAGUUACUGGGCGUAAAGCGCGUGCAGGCGGAUCAGUAAGUUACUCAUGAAAGCUCCCGGCUAAACUGGGAGAGGUUGAGUGAUACUGCUGGUCUAGAGUGGAUGAGAGGUAGGUAGAAUUCCUUGUGUAGUGGUGAAAUGCGUAGAUAUAAGGAAGAAUACCAGUGGCGAAGGCGACCUACUGGCAUCCAACUGACGCUCAGACGCGAAAGCAUGGGUAGCGAACGGG
rnacentral:rRNA from 1 species